rfam:Macrostomum lignano unitig_46947, whole genome shotgun sequence.
AUACUUACCUGGCGCGGGGGAUACCGUGAUCAAGAAGGCGGUGCCUCCAGGACGAGGCCUGUACAUUGCACUCCGUAUGGGCUGACUCCUGCGACUACCCCAAAAUCGGGGUGGCUCGAGCGCAUAAUUUUUGGUAGUGGGGACAAGCGUUCGCGCUGUCCCUU